rnacentral:rRNA from 1 species
GACGAACGCUGGCGGCGUGCCUAAUACAUGCAAGUCGAGCGGACGGAUGGGAGCUUGCUCCCAGACCGUCAGCGGCGGACGGGUGAGUAACACGUGGGCAACCUGCCUGUAAGACUGGGAUAACUCCGGGAAACCGGGGCUAAUACCGGAUAACUCUUUCCCUCACAUGAGGGAAAGCUGAAAGAUGGCAUCUCGCUAUCACUUACAGAUGUGCCCGCGGCGCAUUAGCUAGUUGGUGAGGUAACGGCUCACCAAGGCGACGAUGCGUAGACGACCUGAGGGGGUGAUCGGCCACACUGGGACUGAGACACGGCCCAGACUCCUACGGGAGGCAGCAGUAGGGAAUCUUCCGCAAUGGACGAAAGUCUGACAGAGCAACGCCGCGUGAGUGAUGAAGGUUUUCGGAUCGUAAAACUCUGUUGUCAGGGAAGAACAAGUACCGGAGUAACUGCCGGUACCUUGACGGUACCUGACCAGAAAGCCACGGCUAACUACGUG